UGUACGUCGAACGGCAGCACGGGUGCUUGCACCUGGUGGCGAGUGGCGAACGGGUGAGUAAUACAUCGGAACAUGUCCUGUAGUGGGGGAUAGCCCGGCGAAAGCCGGAUUAAUACCGCAUACGAUCUACGGAUGAAAGCGGGGGACCUUCGGGCCUCGCGCUAUAGGGUUGGCCGAUGGCUGAUUACCUAGUUGGUGGGGUAAAGGCCUACCAAGGCGACGAUCAGUAGCUGGUCUGAGAGGACGACCAGCCACACUGGGACUGAGACACGGCCCAGACUCCUACGGGAGGCAGCAGUGGGGAAUUUUGGACAAUGGGCGAAAGCCUGAUCCAGCAAUGCCGCGUGUGUGAAGAAGGCCUUCGGGUUGUAAAGCACUUUUGUCCGGAAAGAAAUCCUUGGCUCUAAUACAGUCGGGGGAUGACGGUACCGGAAGAAUAAGCGCCGGCUAACUACGUGCCAGCAGCCGCGGUAAUACGUAGGGUGCGAGCGUUAAUCGGAAUUACUGGGCGUAAAGCGUGCGCAGGCGGUUUGCUAAGACCGAUGUGAAAUCCCCGGGCUCAACCUGGGAACUGCAUUGGUGACUGGCAGGCUAGAGUAUGGCAGAGGGGGGUAGAAUUCCACGUGUAGCAGUGAAAUGCGUAGAGAUGUGGAGGAAUACCGAUGGCGAAGGCAGCCCCCUGGGCCAAUACUGACGCUCAUGCACGAAAGCGUGGGGAGCAAACAGGAUUAGAUACCCUG
rnacentral:rRNA from 1 species